AUUGAACGCUGGCGGCAUGCCUAACACAUGCAAGUCGAACGGUAACAGGCCUUCGGGCGCUGACGAGUGGCGGACGGGUGAGUAAUACGUAGGAAUCUGCCUUUUAGUGGGGGAUAACUCGGAGAAAUCCGGGCUAAUACCGCAUACGCACUACGGUGGAAAGCAGGGGAUCGCAAGACCUUGCGCUAAUAGAUGAGCCUACGUCGGAUUAGCUUGUUGGUAGGGUAAUGGCCACCAAGGCGACGAUCCGUAGCUGGUCUGAGAGGACGACCAGCCACACUGGGACUGAGACACGGCCCAGACUCCUACGGGAGGCAGCAGUGGGGAAUAUUGGACAAUGGGGGCAACCCUGAUCCAGCAAUGCCGCGUGUGUGAAGAAGGCCUGG
rnacentral:rRNA from 1 species